rnacentral:rRNA from 1 species
CCCUUAGAUGUUCUGGGCCGCACGCGCGCUACACUGAUGCAUUCAACGAGCCUAUCCUUGACCGACAGGUCCGGGUAAUCUUUGAAUCUGCAUCGUGACGGGGAUAGAUUAUUGCAAUUAUUAAUCUUCAACGAGGAAUGCCUAGUAGGCGCAAGUCAUCAGCUUGCGUCGAUUACGUCCCUGCCCUUUGUACACACCGCCCGUCGCUCCUACCGAUUGGGUGUCCUGGUGAAAUGUUCGGAUCGGCCGUUUGUCGCGGUUUCCGCGUCAUGUGGCUGAGAAGUUCAUUAAACCCUCCCACCUAGAGGAAGGAGAAGUCGUAACA